ACUUAAAGGAAUUGACGGAAGGGCACCACAACAGGCGUGGAGCAUGCGGCCCAACGCGACUCAACCCGGCGAAGCUCACCAGGCCCAGACAUGGCGAGGAUUGACAGAUUGAGAGCUCUUUCUUGAUUCCAUGAAAGGUGGCGCAUGGCCGUUCGUAGUUGGUGGAGUGAUUUGUCUGGUUGAUUCCGAUAACGAACGAGACCUUGGCGGGGAUGGCUGGGGGAGUGAAUCGUUUCAUUACGAUUCGCUUAAUUCAAACCCCUCCUGCCCGGACGUUCUGUGUUGCAGCAGACGGAAGUGCGAGGCAAUAACAGGUCUGUGAUGCCCUUAGAUGUCCUGGGCUGCACGCGUGCUACACUGACUGGUUCAACGAGUUUUAUUCGGGAAGUGGCUCUUUCGGGGGCUCUUCCUAUUCCUUGGCAGAGAUGCCUGGGUAAUCUUCUAAAUGCCAGUCGUGAUGGGGAUAGACGCUUGUAAUUAUUCGUCUUCAACGAGGAAGUCCUAGUAAGUGUG
rnacentral:rRNA from 1 species